UCACAGGUCCUUAUGCCGUCUAGUUAGCAUGCCUGACCCUGCCAUGUAAGCAGCAUUUUCUAUAAAUAGAGAGCCAAAAGUGAGAGAAAGAGAGUUCUUUAAACCCUUAGAGAUCAUACUUCUAAAUCCUCUCUCCUCCAUCCUCCAGAAACCAUCGAGAGCACGCAAUUGGAGAUCAAAGGAAUGACUAGUCAAGCUAGGAUAGCUUGGAACUUGAAGUUCUUGAAGAUUGAAGGCUUGAAGACACCAUUGCAGCUUGUCUCAAGAUGAAGUACUUCUACACUUCUUCCUUCUUGUUCUCCUUGACCAUGGUAGGCUAGUUGUGAUUGUUGCUAGGUCUUGAUAUAUGUUGUUGUAAUGAUAUUUCCGAAAAUUAUAGGGUUGAAUACAAUUGAAUUCUAAGAUGAUGGUUAAGUUGUGCUUGGACUAUGUUGCUUUCAACCUAAUUUGUGGUAUGACUUAAAUUAGGUCAAAUUAAUGUGUUUCUAAGCACUAGUUUGGUAGGAAUGUGUUUGUAGGCCAAUAUUGAGGAGGUGUGUGUGGACCAAUAUACACCCCAAUUCAACAUUUUGUGCUAGAAAUUCCUAAUGGGCAUUUCAUCAAACAUUUGACAUGCAUUUCGAUAAUCACUCAAUUGACUGACACAAUUGAGGGAUGGAGUGUUCGAGGUGUCAAAUAGUGACUUAACACCCUCGUCAAAUAUUUCUAAUGUCUGUAAGGUUCUCUAAGAACCUAGGAACUUUGUAGAACACCUUGUCUUCAUCACCGAAGAACCUCCAAAAGUGGCAUAUUUGAUGAGAAGGUUAUGUGAGACGUGUGUAUGCCUAGAGGAAAUACCUAACCAAAAUUAGUUUCAACCUUAUCCAACUUUAUAAUUGAAGUGAAUUGAGCAAGCCCAAUUUUGACCUAGUGAGUUUCCUCUUCUCUAAAUUGUUGGCCUCUUGUGAUUCGCCAUUUACUAUUUGUUCCUUAGUUUGAUAGUAGAGUAACUAUGGAUCGUGAUAGAGAUCCGCAUAGAUUAUAUUCAGUUUAGUAUUUUGGUCCUUAGUUUUUUGUCUAGACUCUGAAUGGUGCAAGAUUGGUGAUGUUGUAAAAAUAAUUCAAUUGCCUUUCUAUCCAUAUAUUAUUGGUCAUGAUAUAUGAAGAAUCAAAGAAGAUAUGCUCAAUUAAAUAUGACGGGCUGAAUACUAAAAUAUGCGUUUUCUUACAUGCCUAUUUAGUAGUUCUCUUUUUAGUUAAUUUUUGUUUUAGAUUCUAAUACCACAUUGUUUAGUUUAGAAGUUUUUACUUGGGGUUAAAUUUUAAAAGCCUAUUUAAAGACUUGGUUAGUAUUAUGGGAUCAAUACCAUUGAGAUGAAUAAAAUUGAGUUUGAGUUUUAUACUUGGUUGAUUUGUUUGAGUGCGUGGUGAUUCAUACUUGGAAGAUCAUUGGUUUAUUUAAAUGCGUGCAAAUUCAUGUUUCGAGGAUCGUUAAUCGUAUCGACGAGAUAUUCACUCUCAUUUGAGGCCACACCACCUCCUAAACCUUAACCACGGAAGGCGGUGAUGGUGUACUACUGCGAGGGUUGUGGACAUGAAGGACAUGAUGUUUCAUCGUGUAAUUUUUUUUCAGAGGAAGCUGCUCCGGAAGAAGAUGUGGAUAAUUUCGAGCACGUGGAUUAUGUCCACAGGGAUCAGAAUCAGCAGGUUGGGUACAAUUCAGGUUGUUAACAAAAUAACUUCCGACCCAACCAAGGUGGAUACCACAAC
rnacentral:lncRNA from 1 species